UACCAGCACCCCGAGUGGUCGGGACGAUUAUUGGGCCUAAAGCAUCCGUAGCCGGUUCUACAAGUCUUCCGUUAAAUCCACCUGCUUAACAGAUGGGCUGCGGAGGAUACUAUAGAGCUAGGAGGCGGGAGAGGCAAGCGGUACUUAGUGGGUAGGGGUAAAAUCCGUUGAUCCAUUGAAGACCACCAGUGGCGAAGGCGAGC
rnacentral:rRNA from 1 species